UACGGAGGGUGCGAGCGUUAUCCGGAAUCACUGGGUUUAAAGGGUGCGUAGGCGGCUCGGUAAGUCAGUUGUGAAAGCCCCGUGCUUAACGAGGGAGGUGCGAUUGAUACUGUCGAGCUUGAGUCGGGAUGAGGCAGGCGGAAUGUGGCAUGUAGCGGUGAAAUGCAUAGAUAUGCCAUAGAACACCGAUUGCGAAGGCAGACUGCUGGGCCUGUAUUGACGCUGAGGCACGAAAGCGUGGGGAGCAAACAGG
rnacentral:rRNA from 1 species